rnacentral:rRNA from 1 species
GCAGCCACCUUUUAAAACGCGUCAAAGCGUAACCUAAACCCCCCCAAAUACCAUUAAUUUUCAUGAACCCCUAAUUUAUAAUGAAUGACUCCAUAUUUAUAUGGAAGACACCAUGCUAGGAUUAGUAACAAGAAUUUAUAAUUCUCCAAAAUGCAAAUAUAAACCAACAUGGAUUGACCAUUGGUAGUUACCGAACCUAAAUUUACUGCAAUAACACCCACAAGAAAACUCUGCAGUACUUACUCGUUAACCUAACACCAGCGCAUUACAGGAAAGAUUUAAAAAAAGAGAAGGAAUUCGGCAAAUGACGGCCCCGCCUGUUUACCAAAAACAUCGCCUCUUGACUUAUAAUAAGAGGUCCAGCCUGCCCAGUGAAUUUUAAACGGCCGCGGUAUCCUAACCGCGCGAAGGUAGCAUAAUCACUUGUUCUUUAAAUGGGGACUCGUAUCAACGGCAUCACGAGGGUUUUACUGUCUCCUCUUUUUGAUCAGUGAAAUUGAUCUUCCCGUGAAGAAGCGGGAAUAUUUUUAUAAGACGAGAAGACCCCAUGGAGCUUUAAACCAAAUAACAACUUAACUACUUAUCCCACAAUAAAUUUAAGCCCUGUUAUAAGGUUUUUGGUUGGGGUGACCGCGGAGUAAAGCACAUCCUCCACGACGGAAAGAACAUAAUCUUUAUUUAAGAACCACACUUCUAGAAAUUAGUAUACUAACGUUUACUGACCCGACAAUCGAUCAACGGACCAAGUUACCCUGGGGAUAACAGCGCAAUCUACUUCAAGAGCUCAUAUCGACAAGUAGGCUUACGACCUCGAUGUUGGAUCAGGGUAUCCCGGUGGUGCAGCCGCUACCGAAGGUUCGUUUGUUCAACGAUUAAAACCCUACGUGAUCUG